AGUAUUAAGGAUAUUUUGGUUGGUUGGCAAGUCUUAGAAGAUUUAACACAAGGGCCUGUUCGCUGUGGAGCUGGUCCCCUCCUUGUGGCUUAUUUCAGCUCCUGUGUAGGUACAUUUUUGUUGUAAUUUAUUCCACCUGUGUCUGUCAAUUCCUUUCCCCUUGCCUCCUCCCGUGGCAGUGUGGCUCAUAUUUCUUCAUAAGCUCUAAGCCAGUUAUUAAUAACAGUCCAGUGACUUUGUGAUCCACGUGGAACAUAUGGUGUUUUCCACAAGACAGUGCUCAUUCCCUUGACUUUGGAUUUCACUCACAGAACCCGCGAAGGGCCAGGGUUGCUAAGAGACCACCCGCGCCACAUGCACUUUGGUCUAGCAACGGCAGACCCAGCAAAGACCAAGGAGCAGUCACCUCCCACCACCGGGGAUUGUUCAGGCACCAGGAGUAUUCUGAGUAUGACUGGGAAAAGCUGGAUAUUAAUUUCUACCACCACUCCCCAAAGUCUGGAAGAUGAAAUUGUGGAAAGACUUCUAAAAGUCUUAUUUGUUUUAUUUGUAGACCUAAUGUCUAUGGUGUAUGUUGUUGUAACUUCUUAGAAAGCCUCUUUGCUUUCCAUGUACAUUUCAAAUUGAAUUCCAGUGAAUAAAAAUGUGUAUUUUAAUAUGUUGAGUGAUGUUAAUUUGCUUUUAUCUUUUUAUUUUAAAGAGAGUAGUAAAAGAAAGAAAGAAUAGCAGCUAACAUUGCAAACAUAAACAAAACAAAGCAAUAUAACCAACACUGCAAACAUAAACAAAACAAAGCAAGG
rnacentral:lncRNA from 1 species